UACAGAGGUCCCAAGCGUUGUUCGGAUUCAUUGGGCGUAAAGGGUGCGUAGGCGGCGCGGUAAGUCGGGUGUGAAAUCUCGGAGCUUAACUCCGAAACUGCAUUCGAUACUGCCGUGCUUGAGGACUGGAGAGGAGACUGGAAUUUACGGUGUAGCGGUGAAAUGCGUAGAUAUCGUCAGGAAGACCAGUGGCGAAGGCGGGUCUCUGGACAGUUCCUGACGCUGAGGCACGAAGGCCAGGGGAGCAAACGGG
rnacentral:rRNA from 1 species